rnacentral:rRNA from 1 species
UACGGAGGAGGCAAGCGUUAUCCGGAAUUAUUGGGCGUAAAGCGUCCGCAGGUGGCACCUCAAGUCUGCUGUCAAAGACCGGGGCUUAACCCCAGAAAGGCAGUGGAGACUGAAGUGCUAGAGUGCAGUAGGGGUAGAGGGAAUUCCCGGUGUAGCGGUGAAAUGCGUAGAGAUCGGGAAGAACAUCGGUGGCGAAAGCGCUCUGCUGGACUGCAACUGACACUCAGGGACGAAAGCUAGGGGAGCGAAUGGG